UAGGCACAACCAGUAAGAAACUCUCAAGUACAUCUUUGCAGCCAACACAUUCUUCUUUAAUGGCAACAGUUAAAGGUGAAGGAACCACAACCAGUGAUGUCACAAAGACCGAGUUCACCAUCACAAAUACAACAGUGACAAAGAUCCCACUUUCAAAUGCUUCUUCAACAUUACAAAGUUCCCAACAAAAAACUGAGAAUCAGAGCUCAAUCAAAACAACAGAAGCACCAGGUAAGUUAAUUUUCUUCUCUCUCAG